rnacentral:rRNA from 1 species
UACGGAGGGGGGCAAGCGUUGUUCGGAAUUACUGGGCGUAAAGGGCGCGCAGGCGGCUGGCUCAAGUCAGGCGUGAAAGGCCUGGGCUCAACCCGGGAAUUGCGCUUGAGACUGGGCUGGCUUGAGUGCGGGAGAGGGAUGGUGGAAUUCCCCAGUGUAGAGGUGAAAUUCGUAGAUAUUGGGAAGAACACCGGUGGCGAAGGCGGCCAUCUGGACCGCAACUGACGCUGAGGCG